rnacentral:rRNA from 2 species
AGAACGACUCUCGGCAACGGAUAUCUCGGCUCUUGCAUCGAUGAAGAACGUAGCGAAAUGCGAUACUUGGUGUGAAUUGCAGAAUCCCGUGAACCAUCGAGUCUUUGAACGCAAGUUGCGCCCGAAGCCCUUAGGCCGAGGGCACGCCUGCCUGGGUGUCACCA